rnacentral:miRNA from 1 species
UUUGGAAGCCAGCACUCAAGU